UUCGUCGUGUCUCCAUUGUGUGAGACCAGUCAAUAUUUUGGUCAUCGUCGAAACACUUCGGUAGUGUCCGCCUUCACCUCUGCGUAAGUCCGCCAGCCACUGGGUGGUGUGUGAGGCCGCCACGGCCUUCGAGAGUUACCAGUUACCAUUGCAGUUACCAAAGUCGUCACGUAGUUUAAGUUGUGAUUUGAGUGUUUAUGUUAGGUUGUCGUCAUCCGUCCUGGUCGCGGUCGUCGUCGUGCACAUUGGGUUGCCGACUCUGUACACUCACGGGCGGCACGACGUUGAGUUGCCUAUACGGUAGGGAUAAGGCGUUCAUCAUUUAAUUAAUUUUUUCGUUCUUGGUCAUACCAAGUGGGCCCGUCGACUGUAUGCGAUUCAUAUCGAACAGUGCAUCAAAUUCUGUAACAUCUAGACUAAAUGAAUUUUUGCCAGGGAUUUAUAUUCAGAAAUGUAUUUGCCACUCGCUCCAUUUAUGCGCCAGUGCUGCAUGCAAAGCUUUACCACGCACUUGUGAAGACCUUGCCAGGGACAUUUAUAAUUAUUUCAAAUCAAGCUGUAAAAGAGUAAGUCAAUUUAAGCAAUUUCAAGACUUUUGCAAUAUAUCACCUCACAAAAUGUUAAGACCAGCACAGACCCGAUGACUUUCA